GGGGCUGUAGCUCAGUUAGAGAGCGCCUGCUUUGCAAGCAGGAGGCCGUCGGUUCGAUCCCGUCCAGCUCCACCA
rnacentral:tRNA from 1 species